rnacentral:rRNA from 1 species
UAGGGAAUAUUGGACAAUGGGUGCGAGCCUGAUCCAGCCGUGCCGCGUGCAGGAAGAAGGCUUUCUGAGUUGUAAACUGCUUUUGCCAGAGGAUAAAAAGCCCAUGCGUGGGAAAUUGAAGGUACCUGGUGAAUAAGCCACGGCUCACUACGUGCCAGCAGCCGCGGUAAUACGUAGGUGGCAAGCGUUGUCCGGAGUUAUUGGGUUGAAAGCGUGCGUAGGCGGGUGUAUAAGUCAGUGGUGAAAUCAGGCAGCUCCACUGUCGAUGUGCCAUUGAUACUGUAGAAAUUAAGUACUGAUGAGGUAGGCGGAAAUGACGGUGUAGCGGUGAAAUGCUUAGAUAUCGUCAAGAACACCGAUAGCGAAGGCAGCUUAAUAGGCAGUAACUGACGCUGAGGCACGAAAGUGUGGGGAUCAAACA